ACUCCUACGGGAGGCAGCAGUGGGAAUAUUGCACAAUGGGCGCAAGCCUGAUGCAGCCAUGCCGCGUGUAUGAAGAAGGCCUUCGGGUUGUAAAGUACUUUCAGCAGUGAGGAAGGUGGUAUGUUAAUAGUACAUAUUCAUUUGAUCGUUUAGCUUGCAGAAGAAGACACCGGCGUAACUCCGUGCCAGCAGCCGCGGUAAUACGGAGGGUGCGAGCGUUAAUCGGAAUUACUGGGCGUAAAGCGCAUGCAGGUGGUUUGUUAAGUCAGAUGUGAAAG
rnacentral:rRNA from 1 species